UGCGCCGCUANCAUGCAAGUCGAACGGAGCUUGCAGCCAACACCGUGUAGUUGCGGAGCAGCUACAGGGUGUUGGAUGUAAGUUUAGUGGCGGACGGGUGAGUAACACGUGAGCAACCUGCCGAAGAGUGGGGGAUAACGUUUGGAAACGAACGCUAAUACCGCAUAACACCAUUGAGUGGCAUCACUUGAUGGUCAAAGGAGCAAUCCGCUUUUUGAUGGGCUCGCGCCCGAUUAGGUAGUUGGUGGGGUAAUGGCCUACCAAGCCCGCGAUCGGUAGCCGGACUGAGAGGUUGAACGGCCACAUUGGGACUGAGACACGGCCCAGACUCCUACGGGAGGCAGCAGUGGGGGAUAUUGCACAAUGGGGGAAACCCUGAUGCAGCGACGCCGCGUGAGUGAAGACGGUCUUCGGAUUGUAAAGCUCUGUUGCAGAGGACGAUAAUGACGGUACUCUGUGAGGAAGCCACGGCUAACUACGUGCCAGCAGCCGCGGUAAUACGUAGGUGGCAAGCGUUGUCCGGAAUUACUGGGUGUAAAGGGAGCGUAGGCGGGACUGCAAGUUGGAUGUGAAAUACCCGGGCUUAACCCGGGGGCUGCAUCCAAAACUGUGGUUCUUGAGUGAUGUAGAGGCAGGCGGAAUUCCUAGUGUAGCGGUGAAAUGCGUAGAUAUUAGGAGGAACACCAGUGGCGAAGGCGGCCUGCUGGGCAUUAACUGACGCUGAGGCUCGAAAGCGUGGGGAGCAAACAGGAUUAGAUACCCCUGGUAGUCCACGCUGUAAACGAUGAUUACUAGGUGUGGGGGGACUGACCCCUUCCGUGCCGGAGUUAACACAAUAAGUAAUCCACCUGGGGAGUACCGNCCGCAGGGUUGAAACUCAAAGGGAANUUGACGGGGGCCCCGCCACAAGCAGUGGAAUUAUGUGGUUUUAAUUUCGAAGCCACCCCGAAAAAACCUUACCCAGGUCUUGNACAUCCCCAUGCCAUUACUGUAAAANAUACAGGNAAACCCCNUUCCGGGCAUGGAAAAACCGGUNGGUGNCAUGGGUUGUUCCCCCCACCCNCNUGUCCNUNGAAAAUNUUUGGGUUUAANUUCCCCCAACNAAG
rnacentral:rRNA from 1 species